UACGUAGGGUGCGAGCGUUAAUCGGAAUUACUGGGCGUAAAGUGUGCGUAGGCGGUUCCUCAAGUCCGUUGUGAAAGCCCCGGGCUCAACCUGGGAAUGGCAGUGGAAACUAGGGGACUGGAAUCUGGCAGAGGGGGGUGGAAUGCCGCGUGUAGCAGUGAAAUGCGUAGAGAUGCGGCGGAACACCGAUGGCGAAGGCAGCCCCCUGGGCUGAGAUUGACGCUCAGGCACGAAAGCGUGGGGAGCAAACAGG
rnacentral:rRNA from 1 species